rnacentral:rRNA from 1 species
AUUGAACGCUGGCGGCAUGCCUAACACAUGCAAGUCGAACGAAGCCUUCGGGCUUAGUGGCGCACGGGUGCGUAACGCGUGGGAAUCUGCCCUUGGGUUCGGAAUAACAGUUAGAAAUGACUGCUAAUACCGAAUGAUGUCUUCGGACCAAAGAUUUAUCGCCCAAGGAUGAGCCCGCGUCGGAUUAGCUAGUUGGUGAGGUAAAGGCUCACCAAGGCGACGAUCCGUAGCUGGUCUGAGAGGACGAUCAGCCACACUGGGACUGAGACACGGCCCAGACUCCUACGGGAGGCAGCAGUGGGGAAUAUUGGACAAUGGGCGAAAGCCUGAUCCAGCAAUGCCGCGUGAGUGAUGAAGGCCUUAGGGUUGUAAAGCUCUUUUACCCGGGACUGAUAAUGACAGUACCGGGAGAAUAAGCCCCGGCUAACUCCGUGCCAGCAGCCGCGGUAA